rnacentral:other from 1 species
GUUUUUACCCAAAUCCCUAUUAGGGAUUGAAAC